UACGAGGGGGCUAGCGUUGUUCGGAAUUACUGGGCGUAAAGGGCGCGUAGGCGGCCUGUUAAGUCGAACGUGAAAUCCCCGGGCUCAACCCGGGAACUGCGUCCGAUACUGGUAGGCUUGAAUCCGGGAGAGGGAUGCGGAAUUCCAGGUGUAGCGGUGAAAUGCGUAGAUAUCAGGAGGAACACCAAUUGCGAAGGCAGCUUACUACACAACGAUUGACGCUGAGGCACGAAAGCGUGGGGAUCAAACAGG
rnacentral:rRNA from 1 species